rnacentral:lncRNA from 1 species
AUAUAUAUUGUCUCUUAACUAAUAUAUAUUCUUAAUUUUUUCAUAAACAAGACAAAGGCAGAGGAAAGCCAGGACGAGGUCGUCGACGUGGAGGAAAGGAUGGUCGUAAGUAAAUGAUUGAUAAAUAAAUUGUUGAAAACUUUAUGGUUUUAUUGAUUUAAGUCCAUGUACUCAAUAAAUUUGGAAUAGUGAAAUAAGCUUGAUACAAUUAAUUGUUUUUUUAAGUAGCAAUUUAGUGUACUGGAACAUUUUUCCAUAUAUUUAAUGUAAUAUGUUCUAUUGAUCCCAGUUAAAAUUUGUAAUUAUUCUUAUAUCAUGCUUGAACAUAUUUUAACGCCUACAAUAGUUCUUAAAAUUAUUACCAAACUUUAAAUACUAACUUUGAGAGCUUUUCGUAUUCAAUAAAUCGUAUUUAAGUAUUUCAAACGUAUUUCAAUAAAUGAUAUUAAACUAAAAAUGUAAGAAAAAAUUUUAUCAAUAUGAGACACUCUCUUUAAAAUGAAAAUUGGAACAUAACAAUUAAUACGAUAUUUAUUACUAUUAUAUUAUCAAAUUUUCAUGCGGCCGGCGUAAUUCACUAGGGAUAGGCCAAAUUUUCAAAUUCCGAAAGCUCCACAGUUUUUUUGAAGAAAAAGGUUGAAAAAUUUGUUAAAUCUAGAAAAAGUAUCAGAUUGUGUCAUAGUAUUAACACAUUUUAAGAAUGUAAGCUGUGAACGUAUCACAUAUUAAGCACCUAUUAUUGUCCCUGACUAUUUUUCCCAAAAAUGAUGAUUGGAUUACCCUCCUUUGAAUUUUGUGAUUACAAAGGUUUAACAAAUCAAUAACGUGGAAAAUUUAUUCUUCCUGAGAGUUACUAUAAACAGUGAAGCUGUGCUGUGCUGGGGAGAAACGUUUCCCACGGAACGGUUCCCGUCUGCUCGUCUGGAGACGAAUGGUUCCUGUCCAAACUAGCAUGCACCCGUAGUUAUCGCGCCUGAGGGUUGUAUUGCAUCACUCUAUAAACAUUUUUCAGGUAUUUACACAAAAACAUGCAAGUUACCAAUAAAGAUACUCAAGGUAAGUAGAGAUGAUCCAAAGAUAUCCUUCAGAACACUUUUAUAUGGCAGCUAUAUUCCUGCCACAUUCACCACCGAAAUUUAGGGGGAAGGAAACGAACUACUUCAGCUGUUACAGCUUCACAAGGAUGAGAAAGACAAUAUUGACAAUUACAGGCCACGCUAAGGGACCGAAAAUUUUAACAUUAAUUAAUGUGUGCUUUUUAUAAAUACAAUUAGGAAAGUUUUUCUAGUAAAAAUAACGAGAUUUCUUAAAUUAAAAUAAAUCAUCUGUGUUACUCUCAAAACCGAUAUAAAAAUAAUUUUAAAUGAAAAAUUUGAUUGAAGAGAUAUAUUUUUUCAAUAAAAUAUAUCGCAGGAAAUAGCAGUUGAAAUACGAAUUGAUUAAUUUCUCAUUGUUUCUGUACUGCACUGUUCUGUUAAUUUCUUAGUGCUUCAUUUUUUUAAUUUAGGGGAUAGUUGCAAGUGUAAGUAAAAAGCUUUCUGUAUUUAUAAAAAGUGAAAAAUCUGCAAUUCUUUCAGGAAGUUUAAAAUUACAAUAUAUUUAAACUAUUUAAUUAUGGAUUUUGAAUAUUAAAUAUAUGUUAUCUAAGUACAAAACAUAUGUCCUUGCAAAAUAUAAGCUAUUUUUUCUUAACAUUAUUUUUCUUAACCGAAAAUGUUUGUUUUAUACAUGCCAAUGCUUCAGACUAAUUCAAAUGAAUAAAAUAUUAUUUUGCGAAGUCUACUUAAAUUAUUUCUUAAUAUUAAUUCCAAUAUUUAAUAGUAAUCCGCGCAUCUUUUAAUAGAAAAAUGAGGGAAAUGUUUAAACGUAUGUCUUGGAUACAUUUAAUUCAGAAAAUAACAAAAUAAAUCAUUGAUAUGUUACGGUGAUAAAAAAGAGAAAAUUUACUUUUUAAUUAACUAAUAUACAGAUUUAGCUUAGUUGGAAAAUAGUUUUUUAGUAUAAAUAAUUUUAAAAGUCAAAAGCAAAAAAGUAAUUUACAUUAAUAAAUAUUUCACAUGAUAUUUUCAGCCCAAGGAAUUACUGGUAAACUUAUUUGUGUUAUUAUUAUAUUUUGAAUAAAAAAACAUAAUUUUAUGUUUGGUCAUUCUAUGUAGUGAAACGAGACAAUUAAUUCCCUUUUUUUAAAGUAUAACCACAAUCAUGAAACACUUUUGAAAUACUCAUAUCAUAUUCCUGUAUAAUAUCAUAGUAAAAAAUAUAUAGAAGCAUGGUUUUUUUAUUAAUAGUUUUUUAAGGAAAUGUAAUUUUCAAAAAAUAUUAGAACAUUUCAUUUAUAUUGUCUUAAGAGUUUAUGAAUUAAUUUGUAAUUUUCUGCAAUUGAAACAUACGGCUUUUUUAUGAGUAAAAGUACCAGUAAAAAUUGGUAACAAAUAAUUAAUUUAAAUCAAAAAUAAGGCUGUGAUAUUUUCAUACCCCGUUUAAAUUCUACAUUUAUUCAAAGUCAGAUCAGUUUCCAAUAACCGAGUGCAAUGUGUUUAAAAGGCAUGAUUUAAUUUUUCAAAAUCAGUAGUAAAGUAUGUAAAUAACCAAAGUAAAAAAUUUAGCUAGCUAAAUCAGUGAAAAUACGAGCAUUUUACAUUAUGUGAUUCAUAAAAUUCAACAGAAUUAUUAAUGUGUGAUUUAUUACAAUAAAACGAUCGCUGAAUGGUAAAUAUUAAAUAUCUAUCCAUUCAUAAAAUUUUAAAUACUCAAUUGUGUGAUUCCAAAAAAACCGGAAAUAACAUUAUCGGAUUUAAAAUAUUGAGAUUUUAAUUAGGAUGUGCAAAUUGCUAAACCAUUAGUAAGACAAUUAACAGUAACAAAACCCAAAAAAAUGACUAGAAAAGGACUUUUAUUUGUGAUGACAUAGUCAUGAAUUCAGCGCAUCAAAUUGUGAUUGUUCAAAUUUGAAGCUCAUGUCUUGUAAUAAAGUAUUAAAAAUGUCGUGUUAUUUUAAAAACCAGAUGAAAAAAAACCCAUGAAACCUAAAAUAACUGCCGAAUAUAUGCUCGCAAAAUGAUGUCGAUUAAAGUUAAAGCAUUCAUAUAUAUUCAGCUUCGAAAUCGGGUGUUGAAUUAACUUUAAUUUAGAAAUAAUGAAAUUCGGAUGACAAUGUAAAAAAUAUCGUAUAAACAAAAAUCAGGUAAAAUUUCUGCCGAGAAAAUGAUCAGAAAGCGACACAGAAUAACGACUUAAUAGUUGGGUGUCACAAUAUCAUUAUGCUAAAGUUUGAAAAAUCAUGUGAAGAUCACCGAAAAAAAGGAUAGGAAAGCAAUGCGGAUUUAUAAUGGGUUCGUCGUUAAUCAAAACUAACUCUAGUUUGAAAUUCGAGUCUCGUGAUUACAUUGUAUUUAAAAUGCAUGAAUUAAAAUAUGAAAAAAAGACAGAAAAGUGAUAAAAAAAGAAAAGAAUCCAGAUCAUUGGAAGUAGCAAUUAAUUUUUCAAUCAAAUGCAAAAGUAAUUUGCUGCUUGGUAAUCAAUGAAAUCAUGCCUUACAACCUAUCAAAAGUCAUAAAAUUAAAAAUUGCCUUCAAAUAAGAAUUCCUUGCCUGUAUAACACUUAAAAGAAUUCCUUGCCUGUAUGUGCACUUAAGAUAUAACACUGAGAUGACAUAGUAAUAGAAUAACCGACAAAAAUAUGUAUACACUUUUCGCCAUAAAAAUUAAGGCAUCUAGUAAGAGCUGUCAAAAGGAAGCGAAAUUUUACAUACACAAGCCCAACUUUAAUAUAAGAAAGUAGAAAAAUUAUCACUUACUUUAGGAAAAAAUGCGUUUGGACUAAUAUUUAUGGCAAGGAGAGUAUAUUUACAAACUCCAGAUAAAAUGUCACGUAAAUGUUUUUUCAAAUUGUGCGUUAUCUGCCUUGCGAGUCGAUUUGGAAAUUAUAGAAUAUAACAAGGGCUCAUAAAAUUUUAUAAAAUAUUAUUAAUUCAAUUAACUGUAACGGAAAUUCAGUAACACUAAAAGUCAGAUCUUAGUGAAUUUUUUUUUGACUAAGAAAAUGCAAUAAUGCGAUUUAACGAAAUACAUUUCACAUAAAUUAUUUUAUAUGUAUUUAUAGAUUAAUUAAUUUUUGUUUAUGAGUAUAAUACUUGUAACCGAAGGUUUCUUUGUAGUGUACUUUAAAUCAAAUAAAAUAUUUUUUUAACGAAACUUUUAAAAUAUUUAAAAAUCUUGAUAAACUUAACAUAGUAUAAAUUAAAAUUGCAAAAUCUACACGCGUAGAGAAGAAAACAACUAUUAGUUUAUUUUUUGAAUUUUUAGCGUUCAACUUUCUCAUUUGUUUCAAGGCAUUGACUAUAUAAUCUUUAUUUGUUUCUAUCUAAAAUGCCCCUUUUUCACUAUAUUAUAAUCUAUUAAAUCAUUCUGUGCAGUUUAAAAAUAUUGAAAAAUAUUUUGUGUAAAAAAAAUUUAACCCUCAGUUUCAUUUGUUUUAUGUAUAACAGGAGCUGUAGGUGGCCGUAAGUUUGUUUUUAAUACUUCAUAACAAUUGAAAAAGGUAAUAACUAUCAGGUAUUCUCACGCAAUCUCAAAAAUAUAUGUAAGUGAAAUAUUUAAUUAAAAAAAUUAACUUCAAAAGAUGGGAAUAAUUUUUACGGGGUUAAAAUAUUUUUUUCAAGUAUGAAAGAAUCAUCGAAAAUAAAUAAUUCAAUAAAAAAUAAUCUGAACGAACUGAUUUUGAGAAAACUUGUAAGUAUUUCAUUAAUAUUGACCGAAUGAUACUAUUUUUUUGUACGAAAUAUUUAAUUUGUUUUACCAAAUAGUAUCUUUAUUUUAUGACCUGUAAUAUAACCAAUUUCAUUUACGCCACUUUCAGAAGCACAAUAAUUAUAAUUGAGUCUGGGAUGGUUUAAACGGUGAAUGAACUAAAUAGUUUGAGAGUAUGUUCAUUAGCUAAAGCAUCAUUUAAUUGCCAAGUAAAAAAGUAAACUUGUGUUUUUGCAUUCCUGAAUAACAUACGAUUUAAAAAACAAAUAAAGGAAUGAGUUGGUUAGUUUGAGGGUUAGCUGGUUGCUUCCUCAUCUAUUAAGUAAGAAAACCAUAUAGUUAAAGAGAUAGUAAGUGAGUUAUUUAGGGAAUUACAAUUUUUUGAAUGUGUUUUAUUGUUGUGAUAGUGGGUUUGAGUGUUAGCGAGUAAGACAGCAAGUAGCAAUCUGCUACAGUUUGAAUUCGAUGGAGAAAUAUAAAUUUAUAAAUUUCACUUUAUUAAGGGAAAGUUAAAUAUACGAUUAAAGUCAUUGCGUCCAUCCCCCUCAAAUAAAUUUUAUUUUCAAGAAUAGCUUAUUUGCUUUCAUAAGGAAUAAAUUCCUAGAUUUUUAUUUACAGAUGACUCUCUUGCCAAAAUGUAUAACAAAGUUGAGAUAUUUUACAAUGAUUGCAAGGAACAAAACUUAUUAACUGUAAAUAUAUUACUUAACUUGGGCAAUGUUCUGAUGCUCCAAACACAACUGAUUUCAAUAAUUCAAAUAGGUAUAGGUAUUCAAAUAUGUAUUAUUUUCUAAGUAACACAUAUUGUAGGUGUUUAAUAAAUAUAAUCAAAAUUUGGAAAAGGUUUAUUUUUCAAAAAUAAAACACAGGUAAAUCUGCAUUAGUUCAUAGGAGAAAUGUUUACUAUUUGUGUAAAAUUCAAUAAAAAAUCCAUAUUAUACUAAUAAUUAUGUUUUCACAAUUUUUGAAAAAAUUUUUUUUUGUGAGUUCUGAUUUUUUUUUCGAAAUAAUGUUUCGGAAGCAGCUUAAUUCCUCUGAAUUAUUAGACAAAGCUUUAAGACUAUUUAGAUCAUUAUUUAUUGUUACUUUGUACUCUAGCUGAAUAAAAUAAAAGCAAAUAUUCCCUUUCUUUAUUUACAGUUGACAAAGGAGUUGACGCUGCAACAUCUGAUGUUGCUAAUGCUCUUGGGGGUAAGUAAAUUGUUUUGUACUAUCAAAAGAAAAAUUAUUAUUUUUUUAGAACAAGUAUUGAAUUCAAAGUACAAAAAUAGAAAGUAUAAUUGUAUUUUGCAUCUAGUACUUAAAUUUUAGAACAUAAAGCGAAAGGAAAAUAUAAGUCCGGAAAAUUGUUUUUUUUUUUUAAAAAAU